rnacentral:rRNA from 1 species
ACGGGAGGCAGCAGUGGGGAAUAUUGCACAAUGGGCGCAAGCCUGAUGCAGCGAUGCCGCGUGAGGGAAGAAGGUUUUCGGAUUGUAAACCUCUGUCAACAGGGACGAAAAUGACGGUACCUGUGAAGGAAGCUCCGGCUAACUACGUGCCAGCAGCCGCGGUAAUACGUAGGUGGCAAGCGUUAUCCGGAUUUACUGGGUGUAAAGGGCGCGUAGGCGGGGAUGCAAGUCAGGUGUGAAAUCUAUGGGCUUAACCCAUAAACUGCAUUUGAAACUGUAUCUCUUGAGUGUCGGAGAGGUAGAUGGAAUUCCUAGUGUAGCGGUGAAAUGCGUAGAUAUUAGGAGGAACACCAGUGGCGAAGGCGAUCUACUGGACGAUAACUGACGCUGAGGCGCGAAAGCGUGGGGAGCAAACAGGAUUAGAUACCCUGGUA